GCUCUGAUGGCUCGGUGGUUAAGCAUUUGGCUGCUAACCAAAAGGUCGGCAGUUUGAAUCUACUAGGCGCU
rnacentral:tRNA from 1 species